rnacentral:rRNA from 1 species
AACGGGAUUAGAUACCCCGGUAGUCCACGCUGUAAACGUUGUGCACUAGGUGUGGGGGGUGUCGACCCCCUCCGUGCCGGAGCUAACGCAUUAAGUGCACCGCCUGGGGAGUACGGUCGCAAGACUGAAACUCAAAGGAAUUGACGGGGGCCCGCACAAGCGGUGGAGCAUGUGGUUUAAUUCGAGGCAACGCGAAGAACCUUACCCAGGCUUGACAUCCCGAGACCGCCAUGGAAACAUGGUUUUCCCUUCGGGGACUCGGAGACAGGUGUUGCAUGGCUGUCGUCAGCUCGUGUCGUGAGAUGUUGGGUUAAGUCCCGCAACGAGCGCAACCCUUAUCCUUAGUUACCAGCGGUUCGGCCGGGCACUCUAGGGAGACUGCCGGUGAUAAGCCGGAGGAAGGUGGGGACGACGUCAAGUCAUCAUGGCCUUUAUGCUUGGGGCUACACACGUGCUACAAUGGCCGGUACAAUGGGUCGCGAACCCGCGAGGGGGAGCCAAUCUCAAAAAGCCGGUCUCAGUUCGGAUUGGAGUCUGCAAUUCGACUCCAUGAAGCCGGAAUCGCUAGUAAUCGCGCAUCAGCUACGGCGCGGUGAAUACGUUCCCGGGCCUUGUACACACCGCCCGUCACAUGACCCGAGUCGGGUGCACCUGAAGUCGCCGGCCCNNCC